GCGCAGCAGUCGAGAAUACUUUACAAUGUGCGAAAGCACGAUAAGGGAACUCUGAGUGCCUCCUACGGGAGGCUGUUCAGGUGACCUAAAAACACACCUGAAGGAAGGGCUGGGUAAGACCGGUGCCAGCCGCCGCGGUAACACCGGCAGCCCAAGUGGUAGCCACUUUUAUUGGGUCUAAAGCGUCCGUAGCCGGCCAGGUAAGUUCC
rnacentral:rRNA from 1 species